AUGACACGAGACAGGUGGUCGGCUCUGUGGCUGGCUCGACGCAAACCCAACGCUUUUCUCCCCCAAUGCUCGUCGACAAAGUCGGAGCUGAUUGGUCGCCGGCACGUGUGGGUGACUGUUUGGCAUCAACCGCCGCAAACCUUGACGCUUGUUUGCGGUGAGGGCUUCUUUGGUGGUCGUCGAUGGUGGAGUUGGAGUCACCCUCAGGGAGGGGUGAUGACGGUGAUGUUGAGCUGCAACCUCGACAACGCUUUUCUCCUCGGUGACGUGUGUAUGUUCUUGUGCGAGUUGCCGGGUCGCCUCGUGUGGCUUGUUUUUGUGGGCGUGAUAUGUGACGGUUUAAAUCCUUUUUUGUUAAUUAAGCAGGUAAUUCUCUUUGACCUUUUUAAUGAAUCGGACCUAAGGACCGCGUUAAAAAAACAUGCUCCUUUUCUUCUUAUUAUCUUGGAAAAAAAUAUCACUCUCUCACCGCACGGUCACGACACAAGCCUUCACUCUCUCCCUGCAAGGCAGCGGUGCUGCCAUCUCUCCUUAUCUCCCCGCCACGGCGUGGCCGCCGCCAUAUCUCCCCUCAUGGCUACUCCCAGCUGCCUCCCCUCCAUGGCGUGUCAAUCAACCCACACCCUUCUCUCACCGCCGCCUCCCAUCCCCCAUGGCGUCGCUCAUCCCAUCCACUCCCCGCCACGGCGUUGCCAACACAUCUGGCACGGCGAGCAGCGAGAUCCGACCGGGAGGUGGAGAAGGCCUCGUUGUUAUCCGUUCGCAGAAGUCCACGUAGCUGGCCUGUCCGGAUUUGGGCAAGAUGACCUCAGGCACGAGGUGUGGCUCGACAAGUUGGAGGGAUGGCCCCCUGGUUCUCAGGCCCGGUCUUCUAGUUCAGCCGAGACGCACCGUCCAUCUCCAUAGCGGGGACAUCCCAGGCAGCAGCGGAGUAGCCUCCAAGGAAAGCCGGACCAAGCGUGAGCACGACAAGUAACUCGAGGCGCUGCACCGGUGACCAUGGGAGUCUUGUACACGAAGAAGUACUACAAAUUGGCCAAGCACCAGUAUUGGAUGCGUCAAAUCUCGGACUGAUCAAACCCAACAGCCUCGUUCGGUUCAGGGGGAUGGUUCAGGACAUGCUCGGGGCGAGUUCUAUGCCGGCUCUUUAGAGGAUGUGCUACCUGGAGGACAAAAAAGUUCACAGACUUCUCACCAUUCUCGAUGAUGUACCCAUGUGAUUCGCAUCUCUGGGAGCACCAUCUCUGCCAUUGCGUGCCUGUGCAUAGGCAGAAUUCUUGGAUACUGGAGUCUCCCCC
rnacentral:rRNA from 1 species